ensembl:lncRNA
CGGGGCCGGGGGCGGGGCCGGCGCGGACAGCGGGCCAUGGACGAGCCGAGCCUCCUGCGGCGCCGCGGGCUCCAGAAGGAGCUGAGCCUGCCACGCCGGGGCCGCGGUCUGUCCCCGAGCAGCCAGAGCCCAGCGCUGCUCAGCCCCAGCAGCCCCUGCAGCCCCUGCAGCCCUUCGCUGGGCCUGCACCUUUGGAGGUGAGUGACUCGCGGCCUUAGUCCACCCUCUGCACGCGGCCCUGCUGCCCCCUCGGCCGGCCCGCAAGGCCCUACCUCGGACAGGUGGCUGGGCGAGGCUGGAACUUGAGCUGUGGCCCAAGGACUCUCGGGACAGGUGUGGGGCUCCCAGGCUCCCGGAACAUGGGCGGGACCAGAAUGCUCAGCCAGGCUCAGAGUUCAGCCCAGGUCUCAUCUGACCAAACUGAGGCUCCUGUGGCUGGGGUCUGUGGAGGGUUUAUGACGCCUUCCACCGCUAGCCAGGAUCUCACCUGUGUUCCGGAGGAAAUAUUAUGGGCUCCUCAUAUAUUUUGGGGGGCAAUCAUUUACACUUUAGUAUGAAUAAGCCACUUAGCUGUUUCCAUUGGCUUUUAAUGAGGAGAGCAAUUUAGAGCCAGGCAACAGCCAGGUACCUUCAUGCAAGCAGCGAGCACUUAGCAAGUGCCCACUGGGUGCCAGAUGCUAAGAACAUAGAUGUGAACAAGAGGAAGGCUGUCUCCUAGGGGUUCCCAGUCCCCUGAGGGAGGGUGACCAAGGAAUACAGGAACAGAUAAAUGAGACAUGUUCAAGUGGGUACCUGCAGGAAUGUGAUGUGUGAGCCACAGUGAGGAUGAAGCCAGGGGAAGAUUGAUGCCAGCUGGUGCAAACUGCAUGUGCAAAGGUCCUGGGGCAGGAGGAAGGUUUUUACAGCAUCUUCAGUUGCCUGGAUGGGGAGAUCUUUGGGCACAGGAAUGGAUGUGUUGAGAUAGAAGGCAGGUAGAGCAGCAUCCAGGCCAAGGGUGGUCAGGCCUGGGACUUCGCUAGGGAGCCACGGGCUGCUUUGAGCCUCAUUUUAUGCAGGAAAAUACAGGACCUCAGGAUGUGUCACCCAGUGACAGUGCUGGGCAGUGCUGGGCAGUGCUGGGCCAUAGGCCUGAUUCCUUGACCUCUGCCAGGCUGGGAUAGCAUGAGUUGCCAGUGGCUGAGAGGGUUUUACCAAGAGGAAAUGGAGGCAGAGAGAGUUUGGGGCUGGCCACCAGCCCACCAGGCUUCUCACUUGCCACCAGGGGGUGGGAGAGCCACCUGGCUGGGAUCAAGCAAGGAAACGGGUCCCUGCCCCCAGUCCCUGCCCCCAGUGUCUUGGCCCUGAACCUGAGGAAGUAUCACAAACCUCUCACUUGGCUUGUGUAGCAGCCAUUUACACCUUAGUAUGAAUGAGCCACUCAGAUCCUAGCAGUAAGCCCUCACUGACCCUCUGGAUGUGGGCUGUUCUGGCCUCAGGCCCUUUGCACGUGCUGUGCCCUCAGGCCAGAGCUUCAUUCCUUCUCUGUCUGCUGGGUCUCCACCAGGCCCUCAGAUGUGAAGACUCCCUGGCCACCCUCUUGCUCCCAUAUCCCACACAUAUCCAUGGCUUGUCUGUAUUCCUUCCGAGCCCCCUGUCAGGUGGGACCCCUCCAUCUUCUUGUGUGAUUGCUGAGCUGUUACUUUUUUCUUUCUUUGAGAUAAGGUCUCACUAUGUAGUUCAGACUGUCGUCCUUGAACUCACUCUGUAGUCCCGGGGUGGAACUCUCCAAGUGAUCCUCCUGUCUCAGCCUCUCCAGUGCUGGGAUCACAGGCGUGCGCCACCACGCCCAGCUUGCUGGGUGGUUUUUAAUCUAAUCUGUACAGCCUGGAUGAACAGGGAGCAGCUGCAAGGCUCCAUCCGUGGGGAGGGGGGUGGCAGUGGUCGGCGGUGGUUCCUUCUGGGGCCUUGAAUGCCAAGGGCAAGAGGAAGGUGGAAUUUCUAGCUCUGUCAGGGAGGUGGGGCGGAGAGGCACCGGCAGUGCGUGGGCAGGUGGGCAGCCUGAACUGACUACAGGUUGCGUGAAGGAUCAGUACACCUACCCGGGGCUUCGAUAUUACAGCCCCUAGGGUGUCAGAGAGAAGCAACCGUCAGGUCAUAGAGUGGCCGCGGGACACAGCCCGCGGGCGCACAGCAGCGUGGGUUUGCGGAGGGCUCUGGGGAGCCAUGGCGGCUGAGUGCGGGAGGGCGCCCUCUGGUGGGCACCGGAGACCCACCGUCCAGGGCAGGCCUUAGCCAAGCAGCAAACCCUGAACCUGCUCACAGAGGGGAAAACGGGCCAGAGGGGCAUGGGAGAGGCAGGUGCUGGGGAUGCCAGGGCAGUACGGGGUGCCUGUGGCCGUGUUCUGCACAUGUGCAGAAGUGCCCCCCCAAGUUGGGUGGUGACAGCCUCGCGGAAUCCAUGGCUUCGUCCUCAGAACCAGAAGGUUCCAUCUUCUAUGCCUGGCUCGAGGCAGACACCAGGGGCUCCGAGGGAACCACUCCUGUCCCUUGGUCUUCACAGGUCCCCUGGGGCAAAAACAGGUCCAAAGCCUGGUGUGGUGGCGCACCUCUGUCAUCCCAGCACUCUGGGAGGCUGAGGCAGGAGGACUGCAGGGUGGAGCCCAGCCUAGGCAACUUAGUGACUUAGCCAGUUCCUGUCUCAAAAUAAAAUGUAAAAAGGUAGGGACGUUGCUCAGUGAGAAGGCCCUGGGUUCAAUUCCCAGUACUGAAAAAAUAAAAGCAGACCCCAAAUCUACUUCCUCCCAUCAUGAGCUUCCCACCGUCAGUGUCCCCAACACUGCCCAGCCCCUCGCUGGCCUCCUGACGAUCCGUCCUGUCCCGUCCCUGCCCCCCCCCCCCCCGCUGUCCGUGGUGGCUCCCCUGCAAUGACCCCAGCAGGCUCCCAUGGGCAGCCGGCUGCAUCUCCUCUGGACUCCACCUGAGACUCCACCUCUGUAGUCUGCUCCUCGUUUUUCAGUGCCCCUCCUGGCUGCCGUGUCCACUUCUCCAACAGGUCCCGGGCUGAGUCACCAUCUGCCUCUUCACACUCCGACGACAUCACCUUAUGUUGUUGUGGCUGCCUCUUCUCUGUCCCCCAGCCCAGGCCGCCCCUUUGAGGACAGAGAGUUUGUGUUGCCUGGUGUUUGUUGCCCGCUCAUUGCCGGGUCUCCGGGUUCAGCACAGGGGCAGACAUACCGUGGGUGCUCUGUCAGUGUUUGUUGAGUGAAUGAACGACCGGGUGUGGGUGUUUCAGCUCUGGGUCUAGGAAACCUGGGCAAGAGCAUGGGGACACCAGAGGUGGCACUGGGCAUAGCAGAGCCUGUGACUUGAAACAGGGAUGGGUUAGGGCCACACAUUAAGUGGCAGCACCCAUUUGUGCCUCAGUUUCCUCGAUAGCCUGAUGUUCACUCACAUUUAAGGACAGUGAACAGGUAGGUCCUUUGUAGGCGCCUUGUGAGGCCCUGACCCUGCCGGUUCUCUGCCGAAACAGCCGAGGAGACUGAGGCUGGAGAGGGCCACGGUUCUCUGUCAUCACACGCAGGUGGGACCUCAGGGCCCUGUAUCAGGGGGCACCGCCCUCUGUGACGGCCGGGUGCUGGCAGUGCUGGGAGCCCCAAGAGUCCCCAGCCUGGAGAAGCUAAGCCAGCCAAACCCAAGCCAGGGCUGCGCGGCCCGCUGGCUCGGGAACUGGAUGUGGCCACGCCGGAUUCGGAGCGCAGGAACCAGGGUGGGCGUGGUAGCAGGAACUGGACCAGGGCGCUGGGUGGGCCUUGAAUGCCGCGCUCAGCAGGGGUCUGGAGGUGGGUGGGUGAGGGAGGGAAGGGGGCGGUGUCGAGAUUUACUAGGGCAAACGGCCCGACCACCCCCCAAAACAGCCAGCGCCGCCAACACCCCCCCCACCCCACCCCGCAACGCCCCGCC